CCUACGGGUGGCAGCAGUGGGGAAUAUUGGGCAAUGGAGGAAACUCUGACCCAGCAACGCCGCGUGAAUGAUGAAGGUCUUCGGAUUGUAAAGUUCUUUUCUAAGGGAAGAAGAAAGUGACGGUACCUUAGGAAUAAGCCUCGGCUAACUACGUGCCAGCAGCCGCGGUAAUACGUAGGAGGCAAGCGUUAUCCGGAAUGACUGGGCGUAAAGGGUGCGUAGGUGGUUUGACAAGUUGGUAGCGUAACUCCGGAGCUCAACCUCGGCACUACUACCAAUACUGUCGGACUUGAGUGCAGGAGGGGCAAAUGGAAUUCCUGGUGUAGCGGUGGAAUGCGUAGAUAUUAGGAGGAACACCAGUGGCGAAGGCGAUUUGCUGGACUGUAACUGACACUGAGGCACGAAAGCGUGGGGAGCAAACAGGAUUAGAUACCCUAGUAGUC
rnacentral:rRNA from 1 species